rnacentral:rRNA from 1 species
GACGUCAAAUCAGCGUGGUUUUUACACCCUGGGCGACACACGUGCUACAAUGGGUAGGAACAAAGGGACGCAAUACCGUAAGGUGGAGCAAAUCCUCUCAAAAACUACCCUCAGUUCGGAUUGAGGGCUGCAACUCGCCCUCAUGAAGCUGGAAUCGCUAGUAACCGUAGAUCAGCCUCGCUACGGUGAAUACGUUCUCGGGUUUUGUACACAAAUUAAAGGCGCCUGGCGGCUAUUAAAGCUAAGUGGUUUAAGUCCACUCGCUCGAUUUUCGAGUGUAGCGAACGGGUAGGUCUACUUCCGCGAGGGAUAGACUGAAGGAUCCUAGUAGCAAAGGGCAGCGUGAUCAUAAAAAGAGAGAUACGACCUAUUUUUAGUGCGGUGUGUAAUAGGGAAGUAUCACAAAAAAUCUCGAUCAUGAUGUUUGGAAUAGUAUUAAUGGUUACCCAGGGAGAUCUCAUAAACUUAUGGAAAAUUUAAAAGUUUUGAGAAGUCAGCUGCGUCAUAGUAAGCUUGGUUUAAAAUCAAGCCGAAGGACAAAACCGAUGGUUUCUGAUGAUUAUAUCGUCGGUCUAACAGAUGGAGAAGGAUGUUUCUAUGUUCUAAUAAAGUCACCCUUAAAUAAGGGCGGUGGCGGACGUGUUACUUUGAACUUUUUUAUAAAAGUUCAGGAACAAGAUAAGGCUAUGCUCGAUAAAGUUCGUAACUCUUUAGGUUGCGGAGCAGUAUACUUUCAACCAGAAAGUCGAGAAAAUCAUAGUCAAUGUUACCGUUAUACAGUAAACACACAUAGAGCAAUCCUAGAUGUAAUUAUCCCGUUUUUUCGCAAGCAUCAAUUGCAGAGUUAUUCAAAGAAGAAAAGCUUUGAGUUGUUUUGCAAAAUAGCUAAGCUUGUAGAAAUGGGAAAGCAUCAUUCUAAAUUUGGUCUAGAUCGAAUUCGAUUACUAAAAUCUCAAAUGAACCUUCGGACUCGCGUAGCGCGGUAACGCCGCACACUACGUGGGAAUGCGAAACUAUCAGUUAUCGCAAUCCGCCCGUCACACCAUGGAAGUGGUUAGUACCCAAAAGUCUCGUUAGAGAACUAAGGUAAGAAUCAUGACUGGGGUGAAGUCGUAACAAGGCAUCGGUAGCGGAAGCUGUCGAUGGAUCACCUCCUUUCUA